UGACGUCAUUGGUCGGCAGUUGGCACAAGUUCGUAAAGAAGACACUCCGGACCAACAUUAAUAUUACAGGCACGCAUUUUAAAACUGCCUUUUGAAGUGACAUAUGGGGACUAAAACCUUCGGUGCCCAACAGCCGCGUGUUAUAAACCAAAGCUAUAACAGAAAUAACUAAAUUGAAUGUCGAGUGGUUCCCCAAGACUAAUAGGAAACUGCCAACAGUUAACGUUAGCUAGCGUUAGCUUUACGGGGAAGACGCCAUGUUUUUGGGGACGGCACCGGGUCUUUCUGAACGUUGUAAGCAGCGGGACAACGCUGUCAAACGGGAUUCAUUUAAUGUUUAACCAAAAGAGAAAUCAUACUCACCAGCAAGUUGAGGGACAAAAGCCGCCGAGGUCCAGUGGAGGGUCAAGGACGGGCCACGGACCCCUGCCUCUCUGCUCUGAGCUCCAAAGCCCCAGAGCCUUCGCCUUCAUCGCAACGCGGCCACACUGCUACUCUGAUGACAAAUGCAUGUGUGUGCGCAGCAACACGUCAUCAGAGUCCUGCGCUGUUCUCCUCCGCCACCUCCUCCAUCUUCUCCAACAAAUCCUCUAUGGAGGAGCUGCUCCUCCUGUUGCUCAGCAC